UACAGAGGUGGCAAGCGUUGUUCGGAAUUACUGGGCGUAAAGGGCGCGUAGGCGGCCUUCUAAGUCAGACGUGAAAUCCCCAGGCUUAACUUGGGAACUGCGUCUGAUACUGGGAGGCUUGAGUGCGGGAGAGGGAUGUAGAAUUCCAGGUGUAGCGGUGAAAUGCGUAGAUAUCUGGAGGAACACCGGUGGCGAAGGCGGCAUCCUGGACCGACACUGACGCUGAGGCGCGAAAGCUAGGGGAGCAAACGGG
rnacentral:rRNA from 1 species